UACGAAGGGGGCUAGCGUUGCUCGGAAUCACUGGGCGUAAAGCGCACGUAGGCGGAUUGCUAAGUCAGGGGUGAAAUCCUGGAGCUCAACUCCAGAACUGCCUUUGAUACUGGCGAUCUUGAGUCCGGGAGAGGUGAGUGGAACUGCGAGUGUAGAGGUGAAAUUCGUAGAUAUUCGCAGGAACACCAGUGGCGAAGGCGACUCGCUGGUCUUUUGCUGACGCUGAGACGCGAAAGCGUGGGGAGCAAACAGG
rnacentral:rRNA from 1 species